rnacentral:rRNA from 1 species
GACGAACGCUGGCGGCGUGCUUAACACAUGCAAGUCGAACGGAAAGGCCCUGCUUUUGUGGGGUGCUCGAGUGGCGAACGUGUGAGUAACACGUGAGUAACCUGCCCUUGACUUUGGGAUAACUUCAGGAAACUGGGGCUAAUACCGGAUAGGAGCUCCUGCUGCAUGGUGGGGGUUGGAAAGUUUCGGCGGUUGGGGAUGGACUCGCGGCUUAUCAGCUUGUUGGUGGGGUAGUGGCUUACCAAGGCUUUGACGGGUAGCCGGCCUGAGAGGGUGACCGGCCACAUUGGGACUGAGAUACGGCCCAGACUCCUACGGGAGGCAGCAGUGGGGAAUAUUGCACAAUGGGCGGAAGCCUGAUGCAGCAACGCCGCGUGCGGGAUGACGGCCUUCGGGUUGUAAACCGCUUUCGCCUGUGACGAAGCGUGAGUGACGGUAAUGGGUAAAGAAGCACCGACUAACUACGUG